rnacentral:rRNA from 1 species
CAGUAGUCACGUAGUUUGAUCAUGGCUACAGAACGAACGCUGGCGGCAUGCCUAACACAUGCAAGUCGAACGAGACCUUCGGGUCUAGUGGCGCACGGGUGCGUAACGCGUGGGAACCUGCCUUUAGGUUCGGAAUAACUCAGAGAAAUUUGAGCUAAUACCGGAUGAUGUCUUCGGACCAAAGAUUUAUCGCCUUUAGAUGGGCCCGCGUAAGAUUAGCUAGUUGGUGGGGUAAAGGCCUACCAAGGCGACGAUCUUUAGCUGGUCUGAGAGGAUGAUCAGCCACACUGGGACUGAGACACGGCCCAGACUCCUACGAGAGGCAGCAGUGGGGGAAUAUUGGACAAUGGGCGAAAGCCUGAUCCAGCAAUGCCGCGUGAGUGAUGAAGGCCUUCGGGUUGUAAAGCUCUUUUACUCGGGACGAUAAUGACGGUACCGAGAGAAUAAGCCCCGGCUAACUCCGUG